UACGAAGGGGGCUAGCGUUGUUCGGAAUUACUGGGCGUAAAGCGAGCGUAGGUCGCUCGAUAAGUCAGUGGUGAAAGCCCAAGGCUCAACCUUGGAACUGCCAUUGAAACUGUCGAGCUGGAAUCUCAGAGGGGAUAGCGGAAUUCCAAAUGUAGAGGUGAAAUUCGUAGAUAUUUGGAGGAACACCGGUGGCGAAGGCGGCUAUCUGGAUGAGUAUUGACACUGAGGCUCGAAAGUGUGGGGAUCAAACAGG
rnacentral:rRNA from 1 species